GUUUCUGUAGUUGAAGAGGACAACAGUGACUUUUCAGGUCACAGGACUUGGAUAGAGGCCAAGCAGGAAUU
rnacentral:tRNA from 1 species